GACGAACGCUGGCGGCGUGCCUAACACAUGCAAGUCGAACGGAAAGGCCCUGCUUUUGUGGGGUGCUCGAGUGGCGAACGGGUGAGUAACACGUGAGUAACCUGCCCUUGACUUUGGGAUAACUUCAGGAAACUGGGGCUAAUACCGGAUAGGAGCUCCUGCUGCAUGGUGGGGGUUGGAAAGUUUCGGCGGUUGGGGAUGGACUCGCGGCUUAUCAGCUUGUUGGUGGGGUAGUGGCUUACCAAGGCUUUGACGGGUAGCCGGCCUGAGAGGGUGACCGGCCACAUUGGGACUGAGAGACGGCCCAGACUCCUACGGGAGGCAGCAGUGGGGAAUAUUGCACAAUGGGCGGAAGCCUGAUGCAGCAACGCCGCGUGCGGGAUGACGGCCUUCGGGUUGUAAACCGCUUUCGCCUGUGACGAAGCGUGAGUGACGGUAAUGGGUAAAGAAGCACCGGCUAACUACGUG
rnacentral:rRNA from 1 species